AGCCAACCAAAGGUCCUCCUGGUUUGAAAAUGCCUUUGCGGAAGAUGUGAAAGAAAACAGCCCAAUAUGAUGCCAGUUUCAAAAGUGCAGACAACACCUUUUUCUCUGCUUGAGUGAAGAGUGACAUCUUGCCAGUCUGCUGUGCUUUGAUAUACUGAGGCUUUUGCCAUCGCUCCAUUGGAGGAGGGGAGACAAGGAGGUGGCUGAGGAAUGGAUGUGCCCAAAUGAGAGGUUCAUCAAAAGUAUCGUCAAAGCUUUUAUACUUGAAUUACUGAUUACACUUAUUCACGUUGGUGACGUUAUAUUAAAACAUGCAAUGGGCUGAAAAGACACAUUUCUCAUAUGCACCGGGAAUUUGGCAAUAGGAAUAAUUAUCGUUGAAACAUGGGAGAAGAUGAAAAAUUGCUACAA